rnacentral:rRNA from 1 species
AUUGAACGCUGGCGGCAUGCCUUACACAUGCAAGUCGAACGGCAGCAUGAUCUAGCUUGCUAGAUUGAUGGCGAGUGGCGAACGGGUGAGUAAUACAUCGGAACGUGCCCUGUAGUGGGGGAUAACUAGUCGAAAGAUUAGCUAAUACCGCAUACGACCUGAGGGUGAAAGUGGGGGACCGCAAGGCCUCAUGCUAUAGGAGCGGCCGAUGUCUGAUUAGCUAGUUGGUGAGGUAAAGGCUCACCAAGGCGACGAUCAGUAGCUGGUCUGAGAGGACGAUCAGCCACACUGGGACUGAGACACGGCCCAGACUCCUACGGGAGGCAGCAGUGGGGAAUUUUGGACAAUGGGCGAAAGCCUGAUCCAGCAAUGCCGCGUGUGUGAAGAAGGCCUUCGGGUUGUAAAGCACUUUUGUCCGGAAAGAAAUGGCUCUGGUAAUACCUGGGUCGAUGACGUACCGAGAU